rnacentral:rRNA from 1 species
AGUUUGAUCAUGGCUCAGAGUGAACGCUGGCGGCAGGCCUAAUACAUGCAAGUCGAACGGCAGCACAGUGGAGCUUGCUCCAUGGGUGGCGAGUGGCGGACGGGUGAGGAAUACAUGGGAAUCUGCCCAGUCGUGGGGGAUAACGUAUGGAAACGUACGCUAAUACCGCAUGCGCCCUUCGGGGGAAAGUUGGGGACCGCAAGGCCUGACGCGAUUGGAUGAGCCCAUGUUCGAUUAGCUAGUUGGCGGGGUAACGGCCCACCAAGGCGACGAUCGAUAGCUGGUCUGAGAGGAUGAUCAGCCACACUGGAACUGAGACACGGUCCAGACUCCUACGGGAGGCAGCAGUAGGGAAUAUUGGACAAUGGGGGCAACCCUGAUCCAGCCAUGCCGCGUGAGUGAAGAAGGCCCUCGGGUUGUAAAGCUCUUUUGUUGGGGAAGAAAAGCAGUUGGUUAAUACCCGAUUGUUCUGACGGUACCCAAAGAAUAAGCACCGGCUAACUUCGUG